rnacentral:rRNA from 1 species
AACGAACGCUGGCGGCAGGCUUAACACAUGCAAGUCGAACGCACCGCAAGGUGAGUGGCGGACGGGUGAGUAACGCGUGGGAAUCUACCUUGGAGCGGGGACAACCCGGGAAACCCGGGCUAAUACCGCAUACGUCCUAAGGGAGAAGAGGGCCUCUGCUUGCAUGCUCUCACUCCAAGAUGAGCCCGCGUCCGAUUAGCUAGUUGGUAGGGUAAAGGCCUACCAAGGCCACGAUCGGUAGCUGGUCUGAGAGGAUGAUCAGCCACACUGGGACUGAGACACGGCCCAGACACCUACGGGUGGCAG